AUAUUUUAAGUUGUUGUCAGUUAAAAAAGCUCGUAGUUGAAGUUCUGGCUGUAUUGGGCCUCUGCACUUGAUGCGAAGGAACCAGCAGUCAUCCGCUUGCAAAUACAUUGUUCUUCCUUAACCGGUAGACUGUAUAGUAAGCAAUUUACCUUGAGAAAAACAGAGUGUUCCAGGCAGGUUUGUCCGGAAUGCAUUAGCAUGGAAUAAUAGAAUAUGACUAGAGUCGAUUUGUUGGUUAAAGGCUUUAGUAAUGAUUAAUAGGAACAAUCGGGGGCAUUGGUACUCGUCAGUCAGAGGUGAAAUUCUAAGAUUUGACGAAGACUAACUGAUGCGAAAGCGUUUUGCCAAGAAUGUUUUCAUUAAUCAAGAACGAAAGUUAGGGGGAUCAAAGACGAUUAGAUACCGUCCUAGUCUUAACUAUAAACUAUACCGACUCGGAUUCAGAUGAAUAUUAAAGUUCAUUUGGGACCGUAGGAGAAAUCAAAGUCUUUUGGGUUCUGGGGGG
rnacentral:rRNA from 1 species